UAUCUGAACGUUGCAGUUCACUUCAGCAGCUACAACUAGUAUAGCAUAGUAGUGUCAGUGCUAAAGAAUAGGCCAAGUUUUGACUGUCACCAUGUCUUGUAAUUUUAGAAACUUAUUCACAGGAGAAUCAAAAACUUUCAUUUCUGAGCAGCUCUUUUCAAAAUUGAAUUGAACCUACUGGACACAUUUCAGCUAUUUUUGCGAGUUGAGACGGUUGCUCCAACCUCGACGGUGAUGAUGGAUUGAGCGGUUCAGCUAUUGGUCCUACCUGUCUCGACUUUCACUCCUUCGGGAGCAGCCGGACCAAGUAAAUACCUUGACAAGCAGUGAGGGCGCAACGUUGAAGCUGACUGACUGGGGCUUGGCCCGGUAUACCUGGUAGCCAGAGGUCAUCCUACCGCCCCAUCUUCAGCAUAUGUCCAGCAGUCAAGUUCCUGGACUCACACGUGGACGACCUCACGAUCUUCGGGUCUUCCUCGAUUCCUGACGCUGCGGAGGCUGACCUUCUAGGCUUCUUCGAGGCGCCUCCGACUGGUCUGCCUCCAAGAAACUGGCAGUAGCACCGUGCAAGUCAUUCGUCACGUUCAUCCCCACUGACACCCACUAAUCCCGCUCACCCCCUUCCGCCACUAUCUGCAACGGCAGUAUCCCUCUAGAGAGUCUGGAUAAAACUCCCAAAAUUCUAGGCGCACCUCGGAUACCCACUACACGUCUUCACCACACGUCGAAGCCACAGCCACUAGAGCGGUGGGCUCUCUACGUAUCCUAAAAGCCAUGGCUGGCACCAACGGAGGUUUAUCCAAGGAGGACCUCAUCGCCACCUACCGGACAAUCACGCGCCAGAUGCUCGACUGCGCUGCCCCACCACCGAUUGCAUCAGAAGAGGCCUCGCUUCCUUGCCCCCACCGCACUGCUCUAUCCCAGCUCCGCUCGGGAUACUGUAGUUCCCUGGAGUACUACACCUUAAUUCAGGGUCGGACGCUCCCCCAACAGCACCUGCCCGGAAAGCGGGGACCCCCUCCAGUCCGUCCAGCACGGCUUUACCUGCCCCUCCUGCACACGUCCCUCAGCGUCUCCUUAUUGUGGGACAGUCCCGAAGAGGCGGCGGCGUUCCUGGCCACCAUUUCUGUUUCUGCCUUCGCCCAUCUCCCUCCUCUUCCGGUACCUCUCCCUCGGCCGCCACCAGAGCCUCCACUCCUGCUAGCGUGACGCCGGUACCAGAAACAAAAACUGGAGCUUGGGAGCCUCGUGAGCAACAUUCAAACCAUAUCUCAUAGUGCGCAUGAUUUGGGACGGUGGGAGAAAAUAGCGGCAUGACGCUCCUGGAGCAUCUGUUCCCUAUACUGGUUCAUCUUUCCUUGUU